rnacentral:rRNA from 1 species
UACGGGGGGGGCUAGCGUUGUUCGGAAUUACUGGGCGUAAAGCGCGCGUAGGCGGGUCACUAAGGCAGGGGGGAAAUCCCGAGGCUUAACCUCGGAACUGCCUUUGAUACUGGUGACCUGGAGAUCGGGAGAGGUUGGUGGAAUUCCGAGUGUAGAGGUGAAAUUCGUAGAUAUUCGCAAGAACACCAGUGGCGAAGGCGGCCAACUGGGCCGGUACUGACGCUGAGGUGCGAAAGCGUGGGGAGCAAACAGG